rnacentral:rRNA from 1 species
UUAGAUUCGUCUGAGGGUGAGAGUGGCGAACGGGUGAGUAACACGUUGGUGACCUGCCCCAGAGAGGGGGAUAACCAGUGGAAACGCUGGCUAAUACCCCGGAUGUCGAGGUGUUUAGAAAGCCUUGACUAAAGCUCCGGCGCUCUGGGAGGGGCCUGCGGCCCAUCAGCUAGUUGGUAAGGUAAUGGCUUACCAAGGCGAAGACGGGUAGGGGGCGUGAGAGCGUGACCCCCCACACUGGUACUGACACACGGACCAGAUACCUGCGGGUAGCAGCAGCAAGGAAUAUUGCCCAAUGGACGAAAGUCUGAGGCAGCAACGCCGCGUGGAGGAUGAAGGCUUUCGGGUUGUAAACUCCUUUUAUGGGGGAAGAGAAUGGACGGUACCCCAUGAAUAAGAUCCGGCUAACUACGUGCCAGCAGCCGCGGUAAAACGUAGGGAUCGACCGUUAUCCGGAUUUACUGGGCGUACAGCGCGUGCAGGCGGUUUUUUAAGUCGGACGUGAAAGCUCCUGGCUCAACUGGGAGAGGCCGUUCGAAACUAGAAGACUUGAGGGUGGUAGAGGCAAGUGGAAUUCCCGGUGUAGUGGUGAAAUGCGUAAAUAUCGGGAGGAACACCAGUGGCGAAGGCGGCUUGCUGGGCCAUUCCUGACGCUAAGACGCGAAAGCUAGGGGAGAGAACGGGAUUAGAAACCCCGGUAUUCCUAGCCGUAAACGAUGUCAACUAGGUGUAGGGGGUAUCCAACCCCUCUGUGCUGUAGCAAACGCGUUAAGUUGACCGCCUGGGGACUACGGCCGCAAGGCUAAAACUCAAAGGAAUUGACGGGGACCCGCACAAGCAGCGGAGCGUGUGGUUUAAUUCGAGGCUACGCGAAGAACCUUACCAGGGUUUGACAUGUACGUGGUAGGAAGCUGAAAGGUGACCGACCCUUCGGGGAGCGUACACAGGUGCUGCAUGGCUGUCGUCAGCUCGUGCCGUGAGGUGUUAGGUUAAGUCCUGUAACGAGCGCAACCCUCGUCGCUAGUUACAUGUGUCUAGCGAGACUGCCGGGAUAAGCCGGAGGAAGGUGGGGAUGACGUCAAGUCAGCAUGGCCCUUAUAUCCUGGGCUACACACACGCUACAAUGGCCGGUACAAUGGGUAGCCAAGCCGCGAGGCGGAGCAAUCCCCAAAGCCGGUCUCAGUUCGGAUGCAGGCUGCACUCGCCUGCAUGA